GAUGAAGAACGUAGCAAAAUGCGAUAAGUAAUGUGAAUUGCAGAAUUCAGUGAAUCAUCGAAUCUUUGAACGCACAUUGCGCCCGCCAGUAUUCUGGCGGGCAUGCCUGUACGAGCGUCAUUUCAACCCUCAAGCACAGCUUGGUGUUGGGACUCGCGUUAAUUCGCGUUCCUCAAAUUGAUUGGCGGUCACGUCGAGCUUCCAUAGCGUAGUAGUAAAACCCUCGUUACUGGUAAUCGUCGCGGCCACGCCGUUAAACCCCAACUUCUGAAUGUUGACCUCGGAUCAGGUAGGAAUACCCGCUGAACUUAAGCAUAUCAAUAAGCGGAGGA
rnacentral:misc_RNA from 1 species